AGAUGUUGACAUCAGAGACUCCUCCUGCUAUCCGCGCGUCAAUGGAGCGCGGUGUUGCUGUAGCCAUAGCAAGUUCAACUUCUCUAACAGAAAUCAUGAACAUGCACCUAUUGUGGAUGAACAUCAUGAUUAUUUGUAUGCGGUGAAGUUACAAAAAAGUCUGGAGAGGAGGUCGAGUGGAUGUACUCGAAAGACACCUGCAUCAUAUACAUCUCCAUCCCCUUGACAGGUAAAGAUAUCUCAUGAUCUGUUUCCUUCCCCUAGAGGGAAAUGAAUAGAAUAGGGUCCUAUGUUGUAUGCCUAUAUGGAAAUUUUGAACAUAUGUUUGUAUUACGAAUAUGUGACAUUCUAUGUCCAUAUGGAUUUUGGCAAGCUCCUAUUUGACUUUAUUG